rnacentral:rRNA from 1 species
UACGAAGGGGGCUAGCGUUGUUCGGAAUCACUGGGCGUAAAGGGCGCGUAGGCGGCCCGAUCAAGUCGGGGGUGAAAGCCUGUGGCUCAACCACAGAAUUGCCUUCGAUACUGUUUGGCUUGAGACCGGAAGAGGUAAGUGGAACUGCGAGUGUAGAGGUGAAAUUCGUAGAUAUUCGCAAGAACACCAGUGGCGAAGGCGGCUUACUGGUCCGGUUCUGACGCUGAGGCGGCGAAAGCGUGGGGAGCAAACGGG